UACCCGCAGCACAAGUGGUGGUCAUUAUUAUUGGGCCUAAAGCGUCCGUAGCUGGCCUGUUAGAUGCCUGGGUAAAUCGAUGCGCUCAACGUAUCGAACUCCGGGUAGACCGGCAGGCUUGGGACCGGGAGAGAUGUGAGCUACUCGAGGGGGUAGGGGUAAAAAUCCUGUAAUCCUUCGGGGAGGACCAGUGGCGAAGGCGUCACAUUAGAACGGCUCCGACAGUGAGGGACGAAGCCCUGGGGCGCAAACCGG
rnacentral:rRNA from 1 species